GAUGAACGCUGGCGGCGUGCCUAAUACAUGCAAGUCGAGCGAACAGACGAGGAGCUUGCUCCUCUGACGUUAGCGGCGGACGGGUGAGUAACACGUGGAUAACCUACCUAUAAGACUGGGAUAACUUCGGGAAACCGGAGCUAAUACCGGAUAAUAUAUUGAACCGCAUGGUUCAAUAGUGAAAGACGGUUUUGCUGUCACUUAUAGAUGGAUCCGCGCCGCAUUAGCUAGUUGGUAAGGUAACGGCUUACCAAGGCAACGAUGCGUAGCCGACCUGAGAGGGUGAUCGGCCACACUGGAACUGAGACACCGUCCAGACUCCUACGGGAGGCAGCAGUAGGGAAUCGGCGGCAAUGGGCGAAAGCCUGACGGAGCAACGGCGCGUGAGUGAUGAAGGUCUUCGGAUCGUAAAACUCUGUUAUGAGGGAAGAACAAAUGUGUAAGUAACUAUGCACGUCUUGACGGUACCUAAACAGAAAGCCACGGCUAACUACGUG
rnacentral:rRNA from 1 species